CCUUCUCUGCCAUCCCUCUUCCACUCAGGGGAAUAGCCCAGCAUCAGUGCAGUCCAUGCUUGUUAAUCAACCACUUCCACAUGACACAUCCAGCAGAGCUCUCUGAGUGACUCACAGUCACAAACACCCAGGGCACUGAUCUUUCCUCUGUGUCCUUCCAGGUUCUGAGGACAACCUGAGUGUAGUAAGUCUACCACAAAGUGAAGAUUAUGAUGGUGAUGGUGAUGAUGAUGAUGAUGAUGAUGAUGAUGAUGAUGCCCAGAUUUCACCGUCAUCUGUCCUGGGUUCUUCUGAGGACAACCUGAGUUUAGUGAGACCACCACAAAGUGAAGAUUAUGAUGGUGAUGGUGAUGAUGAUGAUGAUGAUGAUGUCCAGGUAAGACCACCUUUCUUUGUCUUCUAAGGAAAUGUUGGUUUUCUGAUAUGAGAAAAAAACUCACCCGUUGAAACCCAAAGAAUGGACUCAGGGAGCUGAAAAACAGCAAAAGUGAAAUUUUCCCUUACCUCCCCUCCCCUCCCCUCCCCUCCC